CGACGUCUGCUGUGCAGCACGCGUGGCUCCUACGAGGAGUGCCGGGGCUUCAGGGUCUGGAGCCUAUCACCAGGACUUCAAAGUUCUAAGGUUGAAGAUGAGCUACCAUCAUCGUAAGCUGCUGAUGUACCAGCUCGCAUUCUCUCCACACGUGGCGUUGCUCCGGCGCGUGGCACGCGGCGCCACUUGAGCGCGCUGCGACGGGGCGCAAGUGGCGCCACCAACACCUGAAGCGCCAAAGUCAACCUCACCUGCACGCGGCGCGCCCUGCUCAUACCGACGAGGCUCUGACGGCUACAAAAUAUGUUGAAUUCUUUAUAAGACAUUUGACAUAUUUAUGUAGUAUUUAGUUGUUAAAAUUUUUUAAUAUUAUAUUCUUAUAGAGAAACACGACAAACCCACACAUUUAAUGUAAUGUUUAUUAUAGGACAUUCGCAAAACAAGUAUAUUUGAAAUAGGUACGGAGAAACAUAGGCUAAGAUUAAAUAUAAGUUAGGUUAAGUCAA